rfam:Shewanella putrefaciens CN-32, complete genome.
GAAUUCGUUAUGGUUUACAGGUUCUUGACACUAAAAACCUCGUGAUUACGGGGUUUUUUGUUAUCUAGGACUUUUAAAUUUGUCGUAUAUAUUCUUUACGACGUUUUACUAGGGCUAUUUAGCCCUUUUUUG